GAUUGCAAAGAAAUUAUGAUGGGGAGAAGAAGCCUUGGCAAUUAAGGAAAAGCAAUCUAAGCAAUCACACCUAGGAUUCCAAACUAACCAUGCUAAAUAACAACAGUCAAGCACUCUGAACAAGUGAUCAUUUAUUACUAAUUGAGAAACUAGAGAAGAUGAACAGCAGCUGGAGAAGAAUUUGCCUAUUGUUGAGGAAGACUUCCAAGGUAAGGUUUGUAGAAGAGAGUGGAGGGCCAUGGAUUGUU
rnacentral:lncRNA from 1 species